rnacentral:misc_RNA from 1 species
GGAGGGAUCAUUACACAAUAAACAUAUGAAGGCUGCACCGCCAACAGGCGGCAAGGCUGGAGUAUUUUAUUACCCUUGUCUUUUGCGCACUUGUUGUUUCCUGGGCGGGUUCGCCCGCCUCCAGGACCACAUGAUAAACCUUUUUUAUGCAGUUGCAAUCAGCGUCAGUACAACAAAUGUAAAUCAUUUACAACUUUCAACAACGGAUCUCUUGGUUCUGGCAUCGAUGAAGAACGCAGCGAAAUGCGAUACGUAGUGUGAAUUGCAGAAUUCAGUGAAUCAUCGAAUCUUUGAACGCACAUUGCGCCCUUUGGUAUUCCAAAGGGCAUGCCUGUUCGAGCGUCAUUUGUACCCUCAAGCUUUGCUUGGUGUUGGGCGUUUUUUUGUCUUUGGCCUGCCCAAAGACUCGCCUCAAAACGAUUGGCAGCCGGCCUCCUGGUUUCGCAGCGCAGCACAUUUUUGCGCUUGCAAUCAGCAAUAGAGGACGGCACUCCAUCAAGACUCGUUUAUCACUUUUGACCUCGGAUCAGGUAGGGAUACCCGCUGAACUUAAGCAUAUCAAUAAGCGGAGGAAAAGAAACCAACAGGGAUUGCCUUAGUAACGGCGAGUGAAGCGGCAACAGCUCAAAUUUGAAAUCUGGCUCUUUCAGAGUCCGAGUUGUAAUUUGCAGAGGGCGCUUUGGCUUUGGCAGCGGUCCAAGUUCCUUGGAACAGGACGUCACAGAGGGUGAGAAUCCCGUACGUGGUCGCUAGCUAUUGCCGUGUAAAGCCCCUUCGACGAGUCGAGUUGUUUGGGAAUGCAGCUCUAAAUGGGAGGUAAAUUUCUUCUAAAGCUAAAUAUUGGCCAGAGACCGAUAGCGCACAAGUAGAGUGAUCGAAAGAUGAAAAGCACUUUGGAAAGAGAGUCAAACAGCACGUGAAAUUGUUGAAAGGGAAGCGCUUGCAGCCAGACUUGCUUGCAGUUGCUCAUCCGGGCUUUUGCCCGGUGCACUCUUCUGCAGGCAGGCCAGCAUCAGUUUGGGCGGUGGGAUAAAGGUCUCUGACACGUUCCUUCCUUCGGGUUGGCCAUAUAGGGGAGACGUCAUACCACCAGCCUGGACUGAGGUCCGCGCAUCUGCUAGGAUGCUGGCGUAAUGGCUGUAAGCGGCCCGUCUUGAAACACGGACCAAGGAGUCUAACAUCUAUGCGAGUGUUUGGGUGUCAAGCCCGAGCGCGUAAUGAAAGUGAACGGAGGUGGGAACCCGCAAGGGCGCACCAUCGACCGAUCCUGAAGUUUACGGAAGGAUUUGAGUAAGAGCAUGGCUGUUGGGACCCGAAAGAUGGUGAACUAUGCUUGAAUAGGGUGAAGCCAGAGGAAACUCUGGUGGAGGCUCGCAGCGGUUCUGACGUGCAAAUCGAUCGUCAAAUUUGGGCAUAGGGGCGAAAGACUAAUCGAACUAUCUAGUAGCUGGUUCCUGC